AGGGCCACAUCAUGUUGAAACACCGGUUCUCCUACGAUCACCGAAGUUAAGCAACGUAGAGCCUGCUCAUUACCUAGAUGGAUGACCUCUUGGGAAUACCAGCUGC